AGUGAACGCUGGCGGUAGGCCUAACACAUGCAAGUCGAACGGCAGCACAGUAAGAGCUUGCUCUUACGGGUGGCGAGUGGCGGACGGGUGAGGAAUACAUCGGAAUCUACUUUUUCGUGGGGGAUAACGUAGGGAAACUUACGCUAAUACCGCAUACGACCUACGGGUGAAAGCAGGGGAUCUUCGGACCUUGCGCGAUUGAAUGAGCCGAUGUCGGAUUAGCUAGUUGGCGGGGUAAAGGCCCACCAAGGCGACGAUCCGUAGCUGGUCUGAGAGGAUGAUCAGCCACACUGGAACUGAGACACGGUCCAGACUCCUACGGGAGGCAGCAGUGGGGAAUAUUGGACAAAGGGCACAAGCCUGAUCCAGUCAUACCGCGUGGGUGAAGAAGGCCUUCGGGUUGUAAAGCCCUUUUGUUGGGAAAGAAAAGCAGCAGGUUAAUACCCCGCUGUUCUGACGGUACCCAAAGAAUAAGCACCGGCUAACUUCGUG
rnacentral:rRNA from 1 species